rnacentral:rRNA from 1 species
AGUGAACGCUGGCGGCGUGCCUAAUACAUGCAAGUCGAACGGAGAUUGAGUAGCUUGCUCUUUAGUCUUAGUGGCGCACGGGUGAGUAAUAUAUAGCUAACUUGCCCAUUACUAAGGGACAACAGUUGGAAACGACUGCUAAUACCUUAUAUUCCGUAGCUAUAUAAGUAGAUACGGGAAAGUUUUUCGGUAGUGGCUAGGGCUAUAUCGUAUCAGCUAGUUGGUAAGGUAGUGGCUGACCAAGGCUAUGACGCGUAACUGGUCUGAGAAGAUGAUCAGUAAAACUGGAAGUGAGACACGGUCCAGGAUCCUUCGGGAGGCAGCAGUAGGGAAUAUUGCUCAAUGGGCGAAAGCGAGAAGCAGCAACGCCGCGUGGAGGAUGACACUUAGCGGAGCGUAAACUCCUUUUAUUGGGAAAGAAUUAUGACGGUACCCAAGGAAUAAGCACCGGCUAACUACGUG